CAGGUGUAUACGUCACGGGUGGCGGCGGGUUUGUUUUCGAACUAGCGUCACAAGUUAGCGGAUAAAGUUUGGCAAUAACUCACCCGUGGCGGCGACC
rnacentral:sRNA from 1 species